rnacentral:lncRNA from 1 species
CUCCUCAUAUUGCUAUCUCUCCUCUUCUUUGAUCUUUGCUUUGGGAGAACAUGGGCUAUCUUUCUCUUCUUUUUUUUUCAGGUGGGUAGUUGACACUCCUAAUUCUACUGUCGGACACUUGUCCUUUUUUUCCGCUCAAGUGGGCAUCUUUGUACCCCUAAUUCUACUUCGGACACUUGUCCAUUUUUACCUCUCGUCUCACUCUUUUUCUUUCUUUUUCCGAGGUUCCGGGCACAAAAGGGAUGAAAUUGGGUUCCGAGGUUCCUUUUUAUUUCCUCGCAUAUUUUUGCAUAACCCAUGCCUCUUCUGCAUUAAAUCUUUUUAGAUAGAGAGAAUAACAAUAUUUGGGACAGUGAGUGAUAAUAUUAUUUUUAGCAAUUUUUAAUAAGUGGUGGUGGAUGGUGUGGUAGAUGUGUGCAAGUGAAUAUCUUAAUUUAACCACAUGAAAAGCUCCUAAGGUCUACACAGCUCGAUCAAACUCAAUGUAAAUAUAGUAAAAGAUGUUAUAGCAAGUAUGGCUGUGGUAGGUAGUUUGUUAUGCUAGGAACUCAUCAUGUGAUUUGUAAGUUUCCAAAAUAAAUCUCCAGAACUUAGUGUAGUAGAAACAAGAUAAACAGUAGCUCAAACUUUAUAUUAUGCCUUUCUCUUACCUAGACUUUAGUUUUAUGCUUCCCAUAGAUAGUAAUUUCAGUUUUAGUAAUUCCUGGAAGAACUCUAAUAUAAAAGCUAGGUACUUGAAGUUAAGUAAACAGAGCAACUAUUCAUCAUUUCCAUCAUACAUCUUUUUGGUCUUUUUAUUUUUCUAGAGAUUAAACUUAGCAGAUAAAUAGAGCACACUUAUCUACAUACUCUUUUUAUUUUGUUUUCAUGUUUAUAAAAUGCAGUAAAAUAAAGCAAGAAAAUAUUUAUUGGGUUUUCUAAGUUUUUCACUAUAAGAUAAAUAAAACACUAAAACAGAAUAGAAUAAAUAAGAAGUGCAAAUAAAAACUUACUUGAUAAAUUGGGGAGGGACUCCCCCAAGCUGGAUGUUGAUGUCGGUUUUAUCCGAUGUUCCACAACCGCAUCAUGGUUGUGAUGUUGUCGUUCAUUGUUGUUGUAUCUUGUCUCAGCUCUUGUACUGCAGUGGCAUGGUCCUGGUUCCAUUUUUGUUGCUCUUCCAGGAGUCGUCCAUGUUCUGCUUGCGUGUUCUGGAUGUCGAGGAGAGUGUUGUCGGUACGGGUGAAGAAAGUAACGGCCUCUUGGUAGUAGUCGUUCGUGAAAGCGUAGGAGGCGUCGGAGUAUCGUCCUGCAUCAAAUUGGGGCGGAGGUCUGGAUCCUGAAGCUCCAUAUGGAUCAGAGGAGUACCUGCCUGUAUGGAAAGGCGGGUUUGUCCACUGGUGAUCUUGGCUCUCCGGCCAUGUCUCCUGUGUUGGCUCUUGUGGUUGCGCAUGUCAAACCCAUGGGUCUCGAAGGACUCGGGGGUUGUAGUCGCUAUAAUGCAGGUGCGCUGCUUCUUCCGGCCCGGGACCAGCUCCAUACCAGGUGCGUUCUCGGUGGGUGGUCAUCCUUUCAGAUGCCACUCGCUGUGGAGCUCUCUGGUUUACUGGUGUUGCUGCAAUCUCAAUCAAAAAAUUUUGAACAACGUAGAGACCAAGGUUCGGGUUAGGUAACCGAAUCUUGCCUUUAUCAUCAUAUAGCAUAUACAUUACAUUCUCCUCUUUCUUUAACAUCCUAGCCUGUCUAAAUGUGUCAUAGCCAUGAUAAAUUCUUAACUCAUCUAUGAAGUCCAACGACGAGUUUUCUAGUAAGUGAAGAUUAGAGGCUAGACGAGUGAUAAGUGAAGUACAUCCUACUGGUCCCUGAAGACUGGGUACACUAAGCCAAUGAGAAACUAAAAGUGUAACAGGUGAAGUGCGUACUUUAUUAAUAGCAGCAUAUAAAAGUUGCAAAUCUCCUACUCUUACUUUCCUAAUAUCAUCACGAUAGAAAAGAUUGUACCCAAGCCAUUUGUGGAACAUCCUAAGAGUGGGGUGUUCCAUGUCACUAGUUCGGGCUUGACUAUAAAAAUUAUCUCUAGACAUUUCUCUCCAAAACUGGUGUCUCUCAAAGUUAGUUAGGUCGGAGUCAAUGUUCAGGAUGCAUCUUGAAGAGAAACCAAGAUGGUCGCUCAGCUCUCUCCAAGACAACAUAAUCUCCUAUUUGAACAUCCGAAAAACAAUUCCACCCUCAUAAUAUUGUAAAGUACAAAGAAAUUCGAGGGUGAGAAGAUGAGAACCCAGCUCAGUUAUGUUCCAAAAAUUUGUCCAACCUAACAUCUGGAAAUUUAAGUCGAAUUCAGUGUCCAUACCUAUUUCUUGAAGCAAGAUUGGAUCAAGAGUAGGGGUGUGAAUGAAAUCUUUAUUCUUUAGUUGCUGGUAAACUUCCUUUUUCCUUCGGGUCUUCAGUCCAAGGUCUCCUAUCUUGAGAAGGACCUUGACUUGCUGAUUAGAUGAAGAUGACGGAGCUUGUGUGGGCGUCGGGUCGACGCUCAUCUCUGAUGGGUGUGAGGAGUGUCGGGAUGAACUCCUUGUACCAAUGUUCUUGAGAGCCUUCCCUGCGUUCUUCACCUUCUUGAACAUCGUGUAAACAAAAGUUGGCAAAAACACAACUAGUGAAAAAUGUGAGAGAAAAUGUUAGUGGUCAGCUGUCCAGGAUGUCAGUAGUCCAGGAGUUAGUCGUUCAAGACAAGUUUUUAUUUUGGCAGCACCUUCCCCUAAACAACUUUUACUUCCGCUUGGACAGCGGGAUCACUACUUACUAGGUGAAACUCACUCUCUUACUCAAAAACUACCAACUUCUUUCCCACUCUUCUCUUCCUCUCUACUCUCUUCUCACUUCACUACAAAAGCUCCUUCUCUGGAAACUGAAACUUGUGUGGUUUUCUAGGAGGCUUGUGUGAAGAAGUUGGAGGCAGGAGGUGGCAAUUUAUAGGAGGAAGGGGGGACAGGGCGGGCGCCCUCUAUAGGUGGGCGGGCGCCCACUUGUGGUGCCCAUCGUGGCUGCUCUUUCUCCACUCCCUUCUUUGCUUAACUCUUACGCAAAAUAAUAGAUCAUGGGUGGUGGUUGGUCGGUGGAAAAGUGCUGGUGAGUGGAGAUAUGUUGGUGGAUCAAAUAAUGUGAUGGGAUGUUUGUGAGGUGUGGUGUAUGACAUGUGGGACCCAAGGAGUGUGGGUCAUGCUUCUAGAAGGUUGCUAUAAUUAAAUAUAAUGCAGGAAAACCUAUGAGAAUUGAAAAUUACUUGAAAUGAUAAUGGAAAAUAUUUUUGUGUCUCCACAAUAAUUAAUAAAUAUGGGUUGUUACACACCAUAAAUAUUAUUUAUAUGGGGCUUAUUAUUAUUAUUAUAAUAAUGCUAUGAAUAUAUAUGACUAAUGCAAGAAUUAAUUAUGCAAGAAUUAAUGAUGCGGAUAAAUACCGAUUUACCUCCCGGUGAGGGUUUGGGAUUUUUAGGUCCCCCAAGGUGGACCUCCAAAUCUUUUAAUCUUCUGAAUUACCUUCCUCCGGAGAUGGUGUCUCCAGUGGUUCUUCUUCAUGAACUUCCUUCACUGUAGAGUCUCUCUCUGGUCUGGGUUUGAAUGUGAAGUGUUCUUCUUUUCCGUUUAUGUUGAACUUGAUUUCUCCCUUUCCGACAUCAAUGUGUGCAUUGGCAGUGCUCAGAAAGCCUUCCAAGGAUGAUGGAUACUUUUGAGUUAGGACUCAUGUCCAAUACCAUGAAGUCUAUUGGCACAAGGAAAUCUCUUAUCCUGACUGGAAUGUUUUCAGCGAUGCCCAACGGGUGUCGAACUGAUUGAUCCGCUAGUUGCAGGCACAUUGAUGUUGGUUCUAGGGUCAUAUGCUCAAGCUUCUCGUAGACUGAUGCUGGCACCACACUGACACUUGCUCCGAGGUCACAAAGUGCAUUGUUGAAGUGUUGGUUUCCGAUCGAGCAAUCAAUAGUGGGACAUCCUGGAUCCUUCUUCUUCCUUGGUGGUUUAUUGAGGAUGGCCGCACUACAUUCUUCUAUCAGCUUGAUAACCUCAGUGGUGGGCAGUGGUCUCUCCUUGUUAAGAAUAUCUCUAAUGUACUUUGCAUAUGUAGGUACCAAACUGCUCAUCCGACUGUAGUCCACUGUUUCUUCUGGGAAAUGGCAAAUAGUUGGUGUCGUAAAAAUCUUUCCUCAUUUCUCCAGUUCUUGGUGGUUGUAGCAGAUCUUCUGCUUCAACUGGGCUUUCUUCUUCUAUCACUGUUGGUUGCACCGGUGCUGAUGUUCUUUGUUUCUCUUUUGGGUAUGGGCGAUCCCUGGUGGCUUUGCCUCUUCUAGUAGUUAUGUUCUUUACCUUUGCUAUUGGAUUGACUCGAGGUUGGUUUGAUAUUUGUGUGCCGUCUCAAUAGCCCUUUGAUCUUCUUUGAACUUGGCCCUCUGGUAAAUCCAGUGGAGCAAAUUUUCCAUAUUGGUUGAUAAUGCUUUUACUUCUCAUAGUAUUUCUUCACUUUGAUGACAUUGUUGAGCUUUAUCUUGGAACCAGCUUUGGUUUUCUGCUAUCUUAUCCAAAAGUAUCUCUGCUUUUCCAAUUGUAAGCUCCAAGAAUGAUCCUUUAGUAGAUGCAUCUACUCACGAGCCUUCUGGGUUAAUCCGUGGUAGAAGGUAUGCAUAAGUAACCAUGUGGCCAUUCCAUGGUGAGGACAAUCUGAUAUAUAUCCUUGAAAACGCUCCCAUGCUUCUGAAAUGGUUUCUGUCUUCUGCUGUUGGAAACUGACAAUAUUUCCUCUUAAGGCAGUUGUUUUGCCUAUAGGGAAAAUCUUUGAUAGAAAGGCAUCUGGCAAGUUUGUCCAGUUGUUGAUGUUAUCUUGAUGAGUGUAAGACCACUUCCUCGCUUUCCCUUCUAGUGAGAAUGGAAAAAGGUGAAGUAGUAUGACGUCUUUGUCAACUCCAUUGAUGUGGAUUGUGCUUCCAAUCUCUAAGAAAUUCUGCAAGUGUGCACUAGCAUCUUCAUGUGCCUUUCCACUGAAUUGUGUAGCUUGUACCAAAUUGAUGAGGCUUGACUUGAGCUCAAACUCGGGUACUCCUUCUUCUACUGCAAAUCUUGGACCAGUUGGGAUGUUCUCAAGACCUAGAGCAGAGAAUUCUUGUAGGGUAUUCUGUGCCAUAGCUUCAGCAAUUUAUAGCUAGCUUCUUCUUCUCUUGAUUGCUUUGGUUCUGAUGAUGAAGAGUUGAAUGUACCCAAAGUCAAUCCUGAUAUACCCUGUAUAAAAAAUGUAAACAUAGAAAAACAACAGGGUGAACCUGCUAAAGCAGAGGUGCCUUGUUAUGAUUUCUCACUUAGUAGCUGUUUUAUGCAAUUAUUUCUCUAUAGUCUAGUCUAAUAUUUUAUGUGAAUAACCUUGACUGAUUUCCUGACUUUCCUUACCGUUCCUAUGUAUUACCCUUUUGAUUCCCCGGCAACGGCGCCAGAAAUGCUUGUUGACACUAGCUAACACCACUUAGAUACUAGGUUGUCAUCCCCAGCAUGGUGCCAGAGUGUAUAAAGGUAUUUAUAAAUGUAAAGGCUCUCUAGAAAAUAAUCUAUUCUAUCCGCAAGCGCACAGAUAAAACACCUCAUUGUAGCAUUUCACCAGGAUAAGUAUUCCAGGUAUCGUUAUUUAUAAUUCUGCUUAAGAGAACAAAAGGGAUGAAAUUAAAUUAAGGACAAAAUCUAUCAAGGCAUAGACUAGAUAUAAACUUGCAAGAACAUGAUUACUAAUGAGAAACUCGUCACACAGUCACUUACUUUAGCAGGGGGUAAACCAUAAAGAUAAUGAUAAUGAAUUAUAAGUUCAAGGGUAAAUAACACAGCGAUUAGAAAAUAGACUACUCCUCAUAUAUGUAGGUGACGUCGGAUUAGCUAGAGAAUGGAUUCUAAGUUAUCAACUAUCUACUAAGUCAUAAUCUACUCUAGUUAUCUACAAGAUCAUAUAUAGCAUAAAAGACUCUUCAUUCAUGUAUAAGGAACAUUGCUAAAGUAAAUCAGAACAUCGCAAGACUUACUCCGCAAUACAAGUUCUACCUAUCCUAUCAACGGAGGGUGGACUAUAUAAGAAUCAACGAAGCUGUCACUAUCGCGAACUACCACACGACCCGGCUAAUAGGAUACAUUUGCAGGUAAAUAACAUCUAAGCACCACGCCCACAUGUGAUCUACCACUUAACUCCCCACGUCAAGAGCUAAGCGCUUUGCAAACUUAUACAUAAACUCAUUAUCAAUCAUAUCUAUGUCAAAUAUAGAACUAGAGCAAACUAAGAGCAUAAUAACUAGAGACAUAAUGUAAUUAGAACAAAGUAUUAGAGAAUGAUAUGAACAAUACAAAUCUUUAUUACCGAAGAUCCGAAUCCAGAGCGUAGUGCUCUACUUCUCUAAUUGCUAUCUAAUCAAACCUCUAAACUUGAAGGAUUAGGGAGUAGCUAAUUCUAAUUCUCUGUGGGAGAGAAGCUCUAAACCCUAACUUUGAUGGCUACCUCUGAAUAAUGAUUUCUUCUCUUCUCCUCUCUCCUCUAGGAGUGGAGAGGCCUUGGUUAUAUAGUCCUUUCAAGUGAAUUUGGGCCGUUGGAUCAAACCGACUUUGAUUGUAUGGUUUAGAUUCAUCCUUUAGGUCGGUGGAGCGUAGUCUCAAAAGAGAGUCCUGAUCCAACUCUAACAGGGGGCGGACGCCUAGGUCAACUGGGCGGGCGCCCAGUGCCUGGCCCCGUUCGGCCUCCGCUUCCUUCCCGUGGCUUCUGGAGUCUUCUAGAUUGAGGAAAAUUGCGCGGCACGUAUUAUCUCGUUGUAAACAUGACAUGUGGGCCUUCUCUCCAUAUUUUUUGAUAACCCCCUGUAGAAAUAGAUAAAAACCAAAGCUCAUGGAAUUCUGUCAGAUAAAACCCUAAUUCUAGAUGUUUGGUGCAUAUUGAUCCUUUUCCAUGUUUAUUUGAUUAUUAAUUUUAGUACUUAAGGACCGUCUACAGCGGCCACCUCUUCAUCUGGCAUGCCUCGAGGUCCCGAGAUGGAGCACAGGGGCCCAUCUCGUCCAUCCACAACGGUCGAGACAUCAGCGCGAGUACUCGACGAUGAUGGACCGCUGAGAGGACAAGGGCCGCCGUCAAGCCCUCCCCGUGCAGAUGCUUCAGGGCAUCGAGGAGAGGGCACAACCGAGACUAGUGGCUCUGGAUGACUCCAUAUUUCCAAUUCUCAGGACGCUCCCUGAUGAGCCGUCCGGUGUAGGCGGGGAAGAAGCCGUCGUCGUUGCGGAGGUAGAACCACUGGGAGUCCCACUAGGCAUGAUUUGACGUCAGCUCGGUGGGAAUGUACUCCUGAAGCUCAUCUGCACACCCCGUCUUCAGCACCAGGUUAAGGCAGCCGGCUCAUACUGGCUUCCUGACUGUUGACGGUUCUUAAGUAUCAAUUUUAAUUAUCAAAUAAACAAGAGAAAGGACCAAUAUGCAAACAACACCUAGAAUUAGGGUUUCAUCUGACAGAAUUCACGAGUUUUGUUGUUUAUCUGUUUCUACAGGGGGUUAUCAGGAAAUAAGGAAGAAAGGCCCACAUGUCGGGAUUACAUAGAGAUAUCAACGCACCGUGCAAUUUUCUACCAUCUAGAAGACUCCAGAAGCCACAAGAACGAAGCAGAGGCCGAAAGGGGCCAGGCCCAGGGCGCCCGCCCCCCUCUGGACUCCGUUCAGGACACUUUUCGCACACGACGUUCCACCGACCUAAUGGAUCAAGGAUAACCGUCCAAUCAAUGUCGGUUUGAUCCAAUGGCUCAUGUUCACUUGAGGGGACUAUAAAACCAGACCCCCUGGCCCCUGGAGGAGACAAGUUUACCAUAGAGUUGAGGGGAGCCCUCGAAGGAAAACCUCUUCUCUAAAUAAAAUUUCUUUUUAGGCUUAGCAACCAAUGUGAGUAGAAAUAGAUCUUCUAGUUUCUACUAGAUUGAGAGAGAUAGAGUGGAGGUGUAGAUCGGAGGAAGCCUGGCCUGUCGGUGUCUACUCCGAGCUUGUACCUGCUGGAUCAAGUUCUCCUAACCCGAGGCUUGCUCCUAGGAUUCUUCAGUAUUUCGACUUCUAAAUUCUAGUAAGUUCUUGUUUUAUUGUUCUUUUAGUUUAUGAGUUUACUUUAAUCUCUUCGCGUAGAGUUUAGAGUAAUCAUUGCUAGCGUAAUCGUGGUGUUUAAGCUAGGGUACUCAUAGAUAUUCCCUGACUAGCUAGACCGUGGUAGUAGCAAGGAACGUGACAUUUCUGAGUUACCUUUGCAGACCAUAUCUCAUUAGCGGGAAGGAUAGGGUUUAUAGGUGCGGGUUGAACAUCCUUUGUUUUGUCUAGAUUCUGUUAGCCUCCCGAAUAGAAUAGUAGAUCAUCCUUACCAAGGUUAGAAGGAGAUUACGGUUGUAGUCUUCUCUAUUUAUCACUCACAUCGAGAAACAUUCUUUGUUGCCUAAAGGGUUAGUAGUAAUAGACCGGGUUAGUCAGAUGCACUCUUUCUCCUAGUCGUAAAAAAAUAAAUACGAUACUCUGGAUAACCUCCUGGGUGAAGUGCUCACCGAUAUCCGUGCGCUUGCGGAUCAAUUCCUUAUUGCGUUCCCAAAUAUCAACAAGCAUUUCUGGCGCCGUUGCCGGGGAGAAAGAGUGUUUGCUGAGAUAACCUUGAGUCUUACUACUAGCUUGUAUCUAUACUUUUAUCUUUUCUUAUCUUUUGUAUUCUGUAUUUAUUUUAUUUAUUCUUACCGUAUGGAAAACCAAGAUUCUAAAUCAAUCUACCAAUUUGCAACACCUUCAAAAACUGACCUUUUACCAUGGGAAUCAUCACAGCCUAUCCAAACAUCCCAGUAUAGGUUAGGUUCUAGGUUGAUUGCCAUGAUUCAAAACCUAUCUUUUUUGGGAAAGGAAGACGAAAACCCUUACCUUCAUAUUAGAGAUUUUGAGCAAACAUGUGAUUGUCUUCGCAUUGAAGGCAUUUCUGAUAAAACUUUACGUUGGAAGCUUUUUCCUUUUUCCUUAAGGGGAGAAGCUAGACAAUGGUACAGUCAGAAGGUAAGUCAACAACGAGGUGAAUGGGGAGUUUUACGAGCCAACUUUUGUCUAGAUUUUUAUUCCCUCGACCGUAUCGGCGAUCUUAGACUUGAAGUCCUAUCUUUUAGACAAAAAGAUAAUGAAACUUUGGGAAAAUCCUGGAAACGUUUUUCUAAUCUUUUAGAAUCUGGUCCAAACCUUAAUUUUGAAGACCCUGUUCUUUUAUUUCACUUUUUUCGAGGUCUUCAGAAAAAUCACUAACAAAUGCUACACACAAUGUCUAGAGGUUCUUUCUUUCGCAUCCCUGCUGAUGAAGCUAGAGUGAUCCUAGAUAGAAUCCUAGAAGCUGAGAUGGAUAAUACCCUUCAUGAUGAAACCUACGAAGCCGAAGUAGACACUCUGCCAAAUUCUUCAUCUACUUUAGCUAUCCCAAGUUCUGAGGCACAAAACGAAGAAAUUCCACCACCGGACUUCAUGUUGGAUAUAGAAUCCGAUCUUUUUGCCGAUUUUGGGAACAUUUUAAACUACCAUUCUAUUGACAAACCCUAAAACGGCCAGUUUAGCAUUUAUUUGCCAAGUGAAUAUCAAUUGAGAGAGCUUAUCUCAGUCAUGAGUAGCGAGUGGUUGGAGGAAUCGGAGCUUUCCUCUGAUGUGAUCCGUUUGGACAAACCCUCUAUAACUAUACGCUAUGCUUAUAAUUCUGAUCGAUUUAAUGCUCUCUAUAAUCCUGUUGUGGGAUCAACAUCAUGUCUGAAUCUUUUGCACUUAAACUAUUUAAAAAUCUUGCCUUAACCCCCACAACAAAGGUCAUAAAGGAAUCUUCGGGACGAUUAGUCCCCAGUCUUGGAAUUAUUAAUGUCCUACCUCUAACAGUAGAAGGCUCCAUGGUUCAUUUGAACUUCUAUAUCUUUGAUACAUGGGACUUUGACCUGUUGAUAGGACAACCUUUUAGAAGACUCCUUUAUAAAGGUCAUACUGGAAAGCUACACAUUUCUUUUGGAAAAGCCUUUAAAUUUCCAAUAACAAUUUCACAAUCCUUAAACAAUAAGGCCGAGUCAUAUCUUUUGCGUGAUCCUAUGGAGGAGGUAAAGGCUGCAUCUCUUGAACUUUUAGAAGAAUUAGACUUAGAAGAAGAAACUCCUUUCUUCAUAGAAGAAGAAGCCGAACCUUCUAAACCUGAACCCUUAGAUGAGUUUGCAGAAACACCUAGACCCCCCAUAGAGCUUAAAACUUUUCCACCCGGUCUUGUCUAUGCUUUCCUAAACAAUAAUCCAGAGUUUCCUGUGAUCAUUAGCGAUAAACUCACUCAGGAGCAAACUCUGCGAUUAAUGACCAUUCUUGAGAAGCAUCACUCAGUUUUCGGCUACUCACUCCAAGAUCUUACGGGAAUCAGUCCUAUGAUUUGUACCCAUCAUAUUCCAACAUAUCCUUCUGUUUCACCUUCUCGAGAACACCAAGGUAGACUUAACAACACUAUGAGAGAGGUAGUUAAAAAGGAAGUUAUAAAGUUGCUGCAUGCAGGGAUUAUAUAUCCUAUGCCGCACAGUGAGUGGGUGAGCCCAGUUCAAGUUGUGCCUAAAAAGGGAGGCAUGACUGUUAUUAUGAAUGAAAAGAACGAGCUAAUUCCGCAAUGCACCGUCACAGGAUGGCGGAUGUGCAUAGACUAUAGAAAACUGAACAAAGCCACGAGAAAGGAUCAUUUUCCUUUACCUUUCAUAGAUGAGAUGCUAGAGCGGUUAGCAAACCAUUCGUUCUUCUGUUUCUUAGAUGGAUAUUCAGGGUAUCAUCAGAUCCCGAUCCAUCCUGAUGAUCAAAGCAAAACCACUUUUACAUGCCCAUAUGGAACUUAUGCUUACCGUAGAAUGUCUUUUGGGUUAUGUAAUGCACCAGCUUCUUUUCAAAGAUGCAUGAUGUCUAUAUUUUCUGAUAUGAUUGAUGAGAUUAUGGAAGUUUUCAUGGAUGAUUUCUCUGUUUAUGGAAAAACUUUUGAUAGUUGUCUUGAAAACUUAGACAAGGUUUUGCAAAGAUGUGAAGAAAAGCACUUAGUCCUUAAUUGGGAGAAAUGUCAUUUUAUGGUUAGAGAAGGAAUAGUGCUGGGACACCUAGUGUCUGAAAGAGGUAUUGAGGUAGACAAAGCUAAAAUUGAAGUAAUUGAACAACUACCUCCACCUGUGAAUAUAAAAGGAAUUCGAAGCUUUCUUGGCCAUGCUAGUUUUUAUCGUAGAUUCAUAAAAGAUUUUUCAUUCAUUGCUAGACCACUUACACUUUUGCUAGCCGAGGAUGCUCCUUUCGAAUUUGAUGAUGCAUGUCUAACAUCUUUUAAUUUAUUAAAGAAAGCACUCAUCUCUGCACCAAUCAUUCGACCCCCUGAUUGGUCGUUGCCUUUUGAAAUUAUGUGUGAUGCUAGUGAUUAUGCUGUGGGGGCAGUAUUGGGACAAACUAAAAAUAAGAAGCAUCAUGCAAUUGCUUAUGCGAGUAAAACUUUGACAGAAGCUCAACUUAACUAUGCAACUACUGAAAAAGAGCUUCUGGCUGUUGUCUUUGCCAUUGAUAAAUUUAGAUCUUAUUUAGUUGGAGCUAAAAUAAUUGUUUACACAGAUCAUGCUGCACUAAAAUAUUUGCUCACUAAAAAAGAUGCUAAACCUCGCCUGAUUAGAUGGAUCUUAUUACUCCAAGAAUUUGACUUAGAAAUAAAAGAUAAAAAGGGAGUAGAAAAUUCUGUUGCUGAUCACUUGUCUAGAAUGUAUUUUAAGAGUCCACAGGAAACCCCCAUCAAUGAUUCACUUCGGGACGACAUGCUCUAUGGGAUUAACAGGUCUGACCCGUGGUAUGCAGAUAUUGUUAAUUUUAUGGUUUCAGGGUAUGUACCACCAGGAGCAAACAAGAAGAAGCUUAUUCAAGAAAUUCGUUCACAUAUAUGGGAUGAGCCAUACCUCUUCCGAGUAUGCUCUGAUGGCUUACUCAGGAGAUGUGUGACCACUGAGGAAGGAUGGAAGAUCAUCGAUAGAUAUCAUUCAUCACCAUAUGGAGGUCAUUAUGGAGCAUUCCGUACACAUUCAAAGAUUUGGCAGUGUGGAUUCUACUGGCCUACAAUAUAUGAAGACACGAAGCAAUAUAUCAGAAGAUGUGGGCCAUGUCAAAGGCACGGAAACAUAAAUACAAGGGAUGCAAUGCCACUCACCAACAACCUUCAGAUUGAGCUCUUUGAUGUCUGGGGAAUAGACUAUAUGGGUCCAUUUCCCCCAUCAAAGAAGUGUGAGUACAUCUUGGUGGCAGUUGAUUAUGUCUCCAAGUGGGUAGAAGCAUUACCUUGCAAGCAUGCCGACAACAUCAGUUCAAAGAGGAUGUUUGAAGAAAUUAUAUUUCCAAGAUUUGGAGUCCCUAGAGUAGUGAUAAGUGAUGGAGGAGCACACUUCAUCGACAAACGCUUCAAGCAAUAUCUAUCAAAACAUGGAAUCCGUCACAACGUCGCUACCCCCUAUCAUCCUCAGACAAGUGGCCAAGCAGAGACUUCCAACAAGCAAAUCAAGAAUAUUCUUCAGAAGACAGUAAAUGAAAUGGGAACGGCGUGGAAAGACAAGUUACUCGAUGCACUCUGGGCAUACCGGACAGCAUACAAGACCCCAAUUGGAAUGUCUCCAUACCAAUUGGUGUACGGGAAGACUUGCCACCUACCUGUUGAACUAGAGUUCAAAGCACACUGGGCCAUAAAGAGAUGGAAUAUGGACCUAGAUGUUGCUGGAGAUCAUAGAAGAAUGCAACUAUCAGAAUUGGAAGAAUGGCGCGAGAAAGCAUAUCACAAUUCGAAGAUCUACAAAGAAAGAGUCAAAAGGUGGCAUGACAAGAGAAUCAAGAAGAAGGAGUUCACACCCGGAGAUAAGGUAUUACUUUUUAAUUCCAGGGUGAAGCUUUUCGGGCAUGGAAAACUCCAGAGCAAAUGGGAAGGACCAUUCAAGGUAAUCAAUUCAUCAUCCCACAGAGCUAUCACACUACAAAAUGACGAUGGUACGUUAUUCAAGGUAAAUGGUCAACGUCUUAAAUUAUUUUUAGAGCCCAAUAAAGAAUUAGAAGAAAUUGACAUAAUCCAUUUUUCCUUCCCAUGGAGAAUUAGAGCCCGACACUUUUAAUCUGACGUUUUUGGGUCAUACAUAUAUUUUCCUAAACAGAGAGAGGGCGGGCGCCCAGCUCCUGUUCCCCCUCGAUCCCGAUUUUCUCUGUUAUGGAAAAUGCACUUAUGGUAAUCUGAAUAAUCCCUCAGAUGGAAAGUUUCGCACGCACAUCGACGGGAAUAACCCGAACAACCCCUAGAGGCACUUUUUGACCCCUAUAUAAACAGACCCCUGAUAUCAGUUUUCAAACACCAAUCCACCAAGCCUUCUUUUUUUUCAAUUAGAGCUUGAUUAGUUCCUCGCUGCUCCAAUGGCCGAGAAGUUCCACGAUGAUUGGGAAGUCGUCCCCUUCAACCUCAACAUGGAGCCUGCAGAAGAUCCCGACGCCCGUGCUCUCGUCCUGGCCAACACAGAGCGACAGCUAGAAGCCAUGCCAUUACGCCAACGCAGCUCCGCCCAAUCCUAUCAUGCUCAACCAGUUCUCACCGCACCACCAUAACCCCUACUCCUCAAGGGAUCAUCAUCCAAGACGAAGACCACCAUCAAGGUGCCAACCGGCACAAGGAUCCUUCCACCUAGACCCAAUGAGAGGGUCGUUGGAGUUAAGACCAACCGGAGCGGCGAGAUCAGCAGCAUUUGCUACACUACGGAGGAGGAGAGGCCUUACUUCGAAGGGAUUAGAGCAGCCAAAGUCCGUUUCAUCCCUCCAAAGGCAGCCCCGAAGCACGCUCUCAAUGCUUUUGAAACACCUCCCAAGCGUCGCAAGACUAUAGUAGAUAUUGAUGAGGACGUUCGAAGGCUAGACAGAGUCAUCAUAGACCUCCAGUCCUCAGUUAAUUCCCUCACUAGGCAGCUCUCUAACCACAACACUGUUAUACUAGGCCGUAGGCAGGAUCUUGCCAGUGCCAAUAAGAAGAUUAAGGAGUUAGAGCGCCACUGAGUUAUCUAGAUUAGACUUUGAGGCAAUGCAUCUUAGACAUUUAUCUUUAAAUUCGGUUUAGUUUUACUAUUAUUGUCAGUUUGCUACUAUUAUCGUCAGUUUGCUACUAGUCUUUUGUAAUAAGUGCCUCAAGAUUAAUAAAGAGUAUUAUUAUUAUUAUCAUUAUUACUAUUACUAUUAUUAUUAUUAUUAUUAUUAUUAUUAUUAUUAUUAUUAUUAUUAUUAUUAUUAUUAUUAUUAUUAUUAUUAUUAUUAUUAUUAUUAUUAUUAUUAUUAUUAUUAUUAUUAUUAUUAUUAUGUCUUGUGUGUCUCUACUUUAUUUUUGUGCAAGAAAGGAGAAAACAAGUAUGGGGGAGAUCCCUCGACAUGCCAAACAUACUUCGACUACACCACUCCACGAUUCAGGUACACACUCUGCACACUUUACACAUACACAUAUCUUGGAUUAUGCAGAAUAUUGUUUUCGACAUGAUAAAUUAAAAAGAUUAAAAUGUUUCUAAAUAUGAUUAAUCUCACCCUGUGAUAUUUCCUGAAACUUGCAACUAUUAUAAAAUUAUUUUAAAACCCUGUGUUACUUAAGACAGUAUGGAAUGUGAGAUGGUAGAGUAUGAGUUUCUUAUUCUAGAUAUCAUUAUUGCUUGGAGAAUUUAUUUCAAAAUCUUCAAAAUUCUAGCUACCAUCCUCAGUGUUUUAUAUGCCUGAUAAAACUGAAAAUAUUAAUUAUGAUUAUAAAAGCUAUCUACUCUGUAUUGAGUUUGUUCAAAUUGAGUUAGACCCUUGUUGAGAGAUUUAUCAUGCUCAUAAGAUCAAGACAUUAUUUAGAAAGAUUCACUCUUCCGAAGUAUUAUUGCAUUAGAGGCAUGGGCUAUGCAAAAAUAAAGAUAUUUCGAGGAAAUAAAAAGGAGCAAGUGCUCGAUAACCUCGCAGAAAAAAAUGGACAAGUGUCCAACAGUAGAAUUAGGGGUACCUCGGUAUCCACUUAAAAAAAAAGAAGAGAGAAAAGAAGAAAAUAAUAGCCCAUGGUCCAUCUAAUAAGCAAUAUGCCAGCAAGAGUUGACAAAGAUUUUAAUUUACAAAGUCUUUGAUCUAAGAGUAUGACAUUCCCCUGCUCUGAUCCCAUUUUGAUCAGGCAAUAAAUGCAAAGUAAGUAUGCUUGAGAUUUUUUGCAAAUUUAAACAACCUCAGUGAGAUAUAUAAAAGAUAAAUGAGUGAUCUGAGAGACCUAUGAGGAUAAAAGGUAUGCUAACUUUUUUUCAAAAAUAUAAAAAAAAACUCCAAGUGACAGGAUUGAGAAGAAAGGAUCUCUACUCUUAACCAUAUACUUCCAUGACUAUAGUACACAUAUGGAUUUUAACACCCUGCAGUUAUGAAGAGAAUGUUUUAAAAUGUUUUACCCCAGAUAUUGUUCUUAACCAUCCUUUUCUCGAGGACGAGUAAAAGCCUAAGUAUGGGGGUAUUUGUUGACGGUUCUUAAGUAUCAAUUUUAAUUAUCAAAUAAACAAGAGAAAGGACCAAUAUGCAAACAACACCUAGAAUUAGGGUUUGAUCUGACAGAAUUCCACGAGUUUUGUUGUUUAUCUGUUUCUGCAGGGGGUUACCAGGAAAUAAGGUAGAAAGGCCCACAUGUCGAGAUUACAUAGAGAUAUCAACACACCGCACAAUUUUCUACCAUCUAGAAGACUCCAGAAGCCACGAGAACGAAGCAGAGGCCGAAAGGGGCCAGGCCCAGGGCUCCCGCCCUGAGGACCUGGGCGCCCGCCCCCCUCUGGACUCCGUUCAGGACUCUUUUCACACACGACGUUCCACCGACCUAAAGGAUCAAGGAUAACCAUCCAAUCAAUAUCGGUUUGAUCCAAUGGCUCACGUUCACUUGAGGGGACUAUAAAACCAGACCCCCUGGCCCCUCGAGGAGACAAGUUUAUCAUAGAGUUGAGGGGAGCCCUUGAAGGAAAACCUUUUUUCUAAAUAAAAUUUCUUUUUAGGCUUAGCAACCAAUGUGAGUAGAAAUAGAUCUUCUAGUUUCUACUAGAUUGAGAGAGAUAGAGUGGAGGUGUAGAUCGGAGGAAGCCCGGCCUGUCAGUGUCUACUCCGAGCUUGUACCUGCGAGAUCAAGUUCUCCUAACCCGAGUCUUGCUCCUUGGAUUCUUCAGUAUUUUGACUUCUAAAUUCUAGUAAGUUCUUGUUUUAUUGUUCUUUUGGUUUAUGAGUUUACUUCAAUCUCUUCGCGUAGAGUUUAGAGUAAUCAUGGCUAACGUAAACGUGGUGUUUAAGCUAGGGUACUCAUAGAUAUUCCUUGACUAGCUAGACCGUGGUAGUAGCGAGGAACGUGACAUUUCCGAGUUACCUUUGCAGACUAUAUCUCGUUAGCAGGAAGGAUAGGGUUUAUAGGUGCGGGUUGAACAUCCUUUGUGGUGUCUAGAUUCCGUUAGCCUCCCCAAUAGAAUAGUAGAUCAUCCUUACCAAGGUUAGAAGGAGAUUACGGUUGUAGUCUUCUCUAUUUAUCAUUCACAUCGAGAAACAUUCUUUGUUGCCUAAAGGGUUAGUAGUAAUAGACCGGGUUAGUCAGAUGCACUCUUUCUCCUAGUGGUAAAAAAAUAAAUACGAUACUCUGGAUAACCUCCCGGGUGAAGUGCUCACCGAUAUCUGUGCGCUUGCGGAUCAAUUCCUUUGCGUUCCCAAAUAUCAACACUCACCAUGGCAGUGCCACUGGGAGCGUGGAACAGCUCGCACGGAAGAGGUGAAGCCACAGCUCCUAGUGUGGCAUCACCCCCAGGUUCCCUUCACAUACCGCGGCGAAGAUCACCAUGGUGGAAACCGCGUUGAGGGAGAGAUGUUGGAGCUCGACCCCGUAGUGGUGGAGGAUCGACCUCAUGAAGCGGCUCGGGGGAGAUCCGAGCCCGUGUCGAUGAAACUUGACGAAGGACACCAUGUAGCCCUCUGGUGGGCUUGGCUUCCGAUGUUCCGCCAGCGGCAUGAUCCACUCCAGCCAUGUCGAAGAGGUAAUGUGGCGGAGAAGCCCCUCCCUCUCCAAGUCCCGCAGCCGGCACUCCAUCAUGAUCGACGGGCACUAGUCAUCGGUGGUGAUGAGCUUCACCGGCAUGAUCAUGGCACGAAGGACGCGGCGGGAAAGGUUCGGUCUUUUCUAGUUGUUUCUCCUCUCCUAGCUCUGCUCCCCUAUGAUUCGUAGGAAGAUGCGAGAUGAAAGGAAGAGGAAGUUGUGGUGAAAAGUGGAAGGGGAGACAGCGAAACGGGUCCUCGAUAUGUAUAGGCGCACCGCAGUGGAUGGAUCUGACAAUCGUGGUAACCCCCUCCUUAAAUGCGCCGCCUAACGGUCCCAAUUCCCCUGCGACAGGACGUUGUGGUUUCCACCCAGAUGGGAGAACGUCACAACGGCUCUCUCUUAAAAAGGCGCACCCAACGGGCAAGAAGACAAACCGCCACGGUGAUUCCUUCCGCCACAAGGUAAGCCCGGCCCAGGCCAAUGAUAAAACCUCAAGAGAGCACAGACUGACCCACCUGCUGGGUUCGACAGUUGCUCUUGAGUACCCGAGUCAGGGAUGCCUAGAAGGAAGUCGAAGCGAGGUAUGGCUCGAAAGCCAAACCUCGAGAUCCUACUAGGAGUAUCCAAGGUCGAGAUCAGCAGGUCGACAAGGAAUCCCCAUGGAGGGAGGCAUCAAGCCGCUGGCCCCUAUCGAACGUGGAUGGUUUCCUUGCCCGCGCUAGUCUGGCUUUAAUGAGAACACCUCCAGGCUACAGCCAACCCUCGUCGAACGGGGCACAGGCUCUCACUUGGAUUACCUGAUAACAGCUCACCGAGGACGAUGAUGCUCGCCCCAUCAGGGGUACGUCACGCUCCUCACUUCGCAAAAGGAACCGACGAGCACGAGCUAGUGACGGUGAAAAACCACAAGCAAACGAGGCUCAGGGGCUCUACCAAGAGCCAACGUCCCUCAACAAAAGGAGGGUCGAAAAUGUUUGAACCCAAGGCAAAUAUAGCCCUCAAAGGAGUCCCAUGACUCCACCGAGGCCUCGGGGGCUACCCCCGCGGGGGUCGCUCAUGCGCCCCUCACGGAAAUUCGACCAUUGUAAACCCCUUUUCGACCACAAAUGCUCAAGCAAGGGCUCGGGGGCUACUGUCGAGGGUGUCAAUAGGGGGUACCCUAGCGGACAUCCCUGACAAAAGAUCAAAAGCUGACCAAUGAGAUAGCCUUGACAUACCCCACCACAGACAUGGGCUAAUCGAUGUUCUAACUUGACCCACGGCGCGUAUAGCUAUCGACCUAGGUCUCGAGCAUGGAAAUACGGUCGAGUAAACGGCAAAGGGCUCGAUAGCGGGCGACCCUCCAUUACGAAAAUAGGUGUCGAGCGAAUGACUAGCCUCGAGCACAAAGGCACGCCCCCGCCGUUUGUCGUGGGUACUGGAGUUAGGGCAUUUAAUGUGACUGACAAGCUCCCACCUAACCCAGGAGGCACGAGAAACGUGAUGAAGGAUCAUGUGCCCGUCAAAUCCCACCUUUUCCAAGCUUUAUCCUCAAAAUCAGAGAAAGGUACAUGCUGGUACAGUUGCAACAGGCGUAAUAUCCCAUCAAGAGGCCCCUUGAGAUGGUAGAGUCAGUGCUCUUGUACACAAGAGGCGCCUGUGCCACCAGACCCUUCAGCCCGUGUGCUCCAUCCUCGAGAAGGGUUGGGUGACGGAAGUCAGCGCUCUAACCACUCCCGACACUAUGCUUCCUACGGAGUACAAGCGUGCGCAUAUGCAGACCAAUACCAAACGGCGUACAGGAGAUAAGCAUAGGAGAUACAUGCGCAAUCAUCACCAAGUACGCUACAAACAAGACAGCUCGAGGUCACGCCGGUACGGAGGCCUCAAGUAGGCCAGCGCCAUACCUCUAUCGAGGCCUAUUCUGGAGCCUAUACCUUGUAACCCUGAGCCUCCCCUUGGAUUAUAAAAGGGGACGCCGAGGGCAAGCUAAAUACAUGACAUACGAUACGUAGAACACACUUGAGACACCACACACUUUGCUAGGACUUAGAAUCCUCAGCAGAACCCUCUUGUAUUCACCGCUGUACAAGCACCUAGGCGCAAGUUAAUACAAACUCUCCCUCCCCCGCUAGAUGUAGGGCCUUCCUUUGCCCGAACUAGGAUAAAUCUUUGUGUCAAUCUUGCAUCACCAUCUGGAAAGGGGAACACGCACACAAAUUUACUCAUUGGUGUUACCCCCCGGGGUUAAAACACCGACAAUUUAGAAGAUCAUUCAAGAGUUAUUCGAAGUUUGACACCAGAGUUUGAAGCGAUGGUUGAAAGAUCACUUCACGAGUUUUCUACUCCCACCACUGACAACAUCCACAGUGGACCAUUGUCAAUGUUGGCGAUCAACCAUUUGAGCUCAAGAAGGCGCUGAUCAACAUGGUGCAAGCUAGCCAGUUUUAUGGAAAGACGCAUGAAGAUGCGAGUGCUCAUCUUCAGAACUUUCUAGAAAUAUAUAGCACUUUCACUAUCAAAGGAGUUACAAGAGAUGCCAUACUACUCCGUCUCUUCCCAUUCUCACUCUUGGGAAGGGUGAAGCAGUGGUUCUACGCUAACAAGGAUAAGAACACUACAUGGGUGAUCUGUUCCACCAACUCCCUGGCUAAGUUCUUCCCCAUGGGCAAGACGAAUGCUCUGUGUGGGAAAAUUUCAAGUUUUCAGCAACAUAAUGAUGAGACGGUCCCAGAGGCUUGGGAGCGCUUUCAAGAUUACAUCCUAGGAUGUCCUCAUCAUGGAAUGGAGAAUUAGCUACUCAUGCAAAUAUUCUAUCAUGCGCUCUCCAACAGCACCCGUGAGACCAUGGAUGCCGUUGUUGGAGGAGCAUUCUUAUCAUUGACUCUUGCUCAAGCCACUGCUCUUGUGAAAAGAUGGCCUCUAAUCAAGGUUGGAGUGAAGAACAUACGUAGACCCACAAGAGAGGUGGAGGUAUGCACCAGCUCAAGGAAGUAGAUAUGCUGGGUGCCAAGAUGGACUUGCUGAUGAAGAGGCUCGAUGAUAAAGCCAGUAGAAGAACAAUGUCAUGCACAUUAAUGACUCUCGUUUGACUUGUGAAGAAUGUGGAGACACUGGGCAUUCAGGCAACUGCUACCCAACACUCUAGGAGGAUGUGAGCUACCUCAACAACAACAGUUAUAAUCGUCCUCAAUAGAAUCAAGGCUAGAAUCAAUAGAGGACUAACUACUCAACCAACUACUCCUCAGGUAACUACCAAGGUAACAACUUCAGCAAUAAUUUCAAUCAACCACCUUUGAGAGAUUUAGUUGUGAAUCAAGGAAAACUGAUGGAUAAUCUGUCUAAGAAAAUUGCAUCCAGUGAUAAAACUUUAGAAACCAUAAAUGCUAGGAUGGAUAACUUUGCAACAGCAAUUAAGAAUCAACACAACUUUAAUAAAAUGAUUGAAUCUCAAAUAUCUCAAUUGAUAGCUGUUGUUCCUACCACUAACUAAGGAAAUAUUCUAGGACAACCGGAAGAAUUAGAAUCUGCAAAUCUUUUCAAUAUAUACAAUGCAGGGAAGUAUUUAAGGGCUGUAUCAGUUGGAGGCUAGAAAGAUGAGUCCUUGCCAAGAAGAAAGGUGAUCCAGGAAGGACGGUCAUCCCCAUCAACAUUGGAGGCAACCACUUCCCAGAAGUCCUUUGUGACUUUGGUGCAAGCGUCAACAUCAUGCCUAAGGUACUAUAUGAGAAAAUUCAUAGAGAUCCAUUGUUGUAUACAAUCAUGUACUUGCAGAUGGCAAACCAGACACUGUGCUACCCAAAAGGAAUCCUUGAAGAUGUCUGCAUCCGAGUUGGCCAAUCAUAUGUCCCUGCAGACUUCGUGGUGAUAGAGACCAGUGGUGAUGAUAGAGCACCCAUCAUCUUGGGGCGCCCAUUCUUGUGCACCGCCAAGGCCAUCAUCUUCACCGACAAUGCAAAGAUCAGCUUCAACAUCAAGGGGAGAAAGGAGAUGUUCACCUUCCAAAAGUGUACACUCAAAGAUCCUACACAGACAUUGUACGAUCAUCAGAACAAUUAUGGAGCUGAGAUAAAGAAGAAGAAUCGAAGGAACAGGAACCGACAACCAAAGGUUGAGUCAGUGAGGAUGGUCAGAACCAUUGACAAAGACCAUGACCAUCUCCUCGCAUCUCCCCACUUGAUCAAAAGAGAAGACACUGGUGCGCCAACCAUUGAAUGCACCAUCAAUAGAUGCUGCUUCUAGAAGGCAGUUUGCAACAUUGGAGCCAAAGUCAACAUCAUGGCUAAGGUAACCUAUGAAUUUCUAUAUGGAAAGAUGUUGUUGUAUUCCACCUUUGUGCAGCUGCAGAUGGCGGACCAGACCUACUGAUUCCUGAAAGGUAUUGCCAAGGAUGUACUAGUACAAAUUGAUGACCACUUCAUACCUACCGACUUCCUAGUCUUGGACAUGGGAGAAGAAGAUCAUGAUCCACCAAUCAUCCUUGGAAGACCGAUCCUCAACACUACUCGAGCAAUCAUCUACAUCGGGACCGGAGAAGUCCACUUCCAGUUCCCAUCGAAGAAGGUACGCUGAUAUUUUACUAACUAUAAAGUGAGUGAAGAACCCCACAAGAACAGGUCAAGAAGGAGGCAUCAUUUUCAAUGCCAAAAGAAAUAAAUCCUAAAGGACAGAUGGGCCGACUAUGAAGGAGAGGUGACAAGACAUGAAGAACUAUUCCUAGAGAAGGACACCAUAGAAGAACUGAAUGAAGAUAUCAUUAAAGACGUAGCUCCCUCAUCAAAGUCCACCUUGCCAACCAAUAAGGUAUGGGUUCAAAAAGCUAUAAUUACUUCUAACUCACCAACAUAGGAAGAAGAGCAAUUGCAGUCACCGGAGAAGCCAUCCAGAGUGACUGAAGAAAACUGUGCGAAAGGAGAUGUCUUAUUCAGUGGACUCAGAACACCGGACCCUCGCCAAAAGGUACAUUUGGUAGUUAUCUAUGUUUCCCCUUUUCAAUGCUGCAUUAGUUUCCCUUAAAAGAAUAUUUAAUUUUCACAUAAUCAUCAUCACUUAGUUCAACAUCUUUUUGCAUUAGACAAAAAAUAAUGUGUGUUAAGCCCCAUGUGAAUAUCCUUGUGGCAAUCCAUAAAGAUUACUCACUAUGGUGGCACAAAAAUAAAAAAAUAUAUAGUCUAGUUGCAUUUUCCCUUUUGCAUUAUAAAUUUGAAAAACCAUAAAAAUAUAAAAACACUUAAAAUACCAAAAAUAAAAUAUCCUUGAUAGUACAUGCUCAAUCAAAUGUGAAGUUCUAGACACUCAAGGCUUAGAGGUUUAUCACUAACACUUAAUCAAGUUCCAUGAGCUUUAUUGUCUAUUUGAGCUCCAUAGAAUUUGAAGGAUCAGGAAGACCGACGACCAGAUAACGUAUCUUCACUGCUAGUGUGCUACACCAAGAGACCACGUCAACAUCCAGCUUUGGGGAGGGCAUACCCCCGCGUAUCUUGCUAAGUACUUCUACCACCUUUAUGAAAACAGAUAAAAAGAUGAAUAAACAUUUAAAAAUCAAAUAAAUAUUUAUCUACAUAUUUUUUUGAGUGAUUUUAGGAUUGUUAAUAAAUAAAUAAAAAUGAGAAGAUACAAGGAUUAAUUUUGCUUAUACCAAACCAAAGUUUAACUCGCAUGGAAAUGAUGAAUAGUUGCUCUGCCACACUGUUUGAGUACCUAGCUUUUAUACUCGAAUUAUCCCAAGUUUUAGACACAACUAUUUUGAUUUAGAAUUUACUCUGAGCCUCAAACUUGUGGGUCGUAAUGUUUGAGCUUAAGUCUAGGUAGUUGACUAAUAUGAUAUGGAAAGGUUUUGAGCUGCUAUUAAUCAUGUUCCUAGAGAUGCUAGAGUUCUGGAGAGUUUAUCUUUUGAAAAACAUAAAAAUGCUGCAUGAUGAGUUCCUGUAUGACGAGAGCUUGAAUUCCUACCACAGCCAGAUAUACAUGCCUUGUAGAUUAGGAAAAACGUUUCACUGUUAUUUAUUGCUUAUGAGCAUUGAGUUUAGUCGAGCUAUGUUGACCCUUAGGAACUAGUCAUGCUUUUAGAAUCAAGAUCACGUACACUCCUCCCACAUAUGCUGCUUCUACACUAGAAGUACGCAUCCACCUUUAUGCCAUUUAGAUCCACACAAAAUUGUACUACUCCUACCCUGGGAGUGAACUCCAAAAAAUAUUCCACUUGUUUAUCUAUUGCCAUUUAAUAAAGCUCCAUUAUUUCUUAUUGCUACCUACCAUUUCAUUAUCCAGAAAAGAGAUUUAGGAGCUCUCGAAAAUAAAAAAUAAUAAAAAGAGAGAAAAGAAAAAAGAGAGAAAAAUAGAGCAUCCCAAACUCUCCCAAAAAGUUCCAAUAAAGGUAGGUGUGUUUUCAAGGAGCAAAGGUAGAAUUAGGAUUCCACCAUCACCAUAAACCCAAACCACAUCCAUUUGCCAUCCAUUAUAUUCCACUCCACUACAUUCCACACACAUACACAUCUUGAUUUUAUUGUAUGACUUGAUUCUUUGGAUCCAUUGUUUGACUUUACAAUAUAUGUUUACAAGUAUGUAUGAGCUGUCUCCCCACCUAUGAGCUCCACAUAAGACACUUAGUAGGUUGCAUCCCUAACAAGAUGUAGAAGUGCUAGUAUUAAAUCUAUAUGCUUUUCUAAGGAAUAAAUAAAUAAAGGAUCCACAAGCGCAUAGAUAAUACCGAUGUAGCAUUUUAACUAGGAGUAUUCCAGGUAUCGUUAUUUAUAUUUUUACCACUAGGAAGGAACUUGCAAUGGAUAAUGAGCAAUGAGUACUGCAUGUAAUCAUGGAGAUCUUAACUAUGUCUUUAUCUAUCUCUCAUGCAGGGUAAGUGUCAAAUAAGUGUUGGUACCCCUUAUCUUAUAAUUAUAAACAUCAUUUUAAUAAAUAAAAUAAAUAGAUGGUAGGGCUUUGAACUAACCUUUCCACAAGUUUUGUUGCAAAUAUCAAUUUCAGGUAUGACACGUGGAAAGGCACAAAAGACACGAGAAAGCACACUUCAAGAAAGCAUAUUCAGAAAAGGCGCAAAUCAAAGAUAAAUGGAAAAGCCCACCAAAACACCGAACUGGAUCCAUCCAUAACCACGGGAAGGAUCAGGGCCCAGAGAUGAACCAACCAUGCGAAGGUGGUGGCCAGGGUGGCCUACCUGUGGUGUGGCCGCACCCUGGUGCAAGCGCACCCCCCGUGGCGGCAACUCGGUCCCACCUUUUUCAGGCGGUUGCAAGGUGGCAUGCAUAGGACGGUUUCACCUCCUACCAAAUUUAGAUCGCCAUGAACCGUCCUUGUUGGGCUAUAAAUAGAUGGCUCCACACCAUUCAACAUACACACCAUCAUUAGGAGCAAUACACCUCACAUUUCUACACUUGUUCUUUAGUUUAGAUUCAGUAGUAGAGCAAGGCAAAGCUAGCAAGGAGAACUUGUCUCCUUGGAGGAUCUUAGAGCUUCUUGGUACGAAAACAAUCCAGUUCUCCUCCAUGAGCAAGUUCUUAUCUUAUUUAUAUGAUUAUGCAAUUGAAUUAGAGUAUAGUUGUGUUCAUAUCUUGUUCAUAGUAUAUGAACUAGUUCUUAGUUCUUGUGCUAUGUUCUUGAUGUGUUCAUCCUUGUUCUUCAUCGUUCAUCGAAUUAGUAUGAAUAGACAAAGGAUUAAGAUUGGGGUAACAGUUCAUUGGGCUGUGAUGGCCACUCUUAGCCGAGCCUGUGAAUCCGAAGGGUUGGGGUCCCGUGAGGCUAGGAGGCGUUUCCAAUUACACGGGCGAGGUGCUCGGGUAUGCGGAGAUCAGUGGAUGCGCGAGUAUCUUUUGGGUAGAGGGGUACGUGGCAGGGUAGUGACAGCCCUUCCAUCCCUGGUAUUCCCCCACGAUCAGGUAUUCUGGUAGGAGUUCUGUAAAGUCCCCAUCGGCUAGAUGUCCAGCUGCAGGGAUCUCCCUAGAGCCUCAGACUUAGUUCUAACUCUAGUUAUAUUGAUUAGAUGUUCUACUAACAAUUCUUUGCAUAGUUAUAUAAGAUCAAUGCCGGCUCAUGUAGUUAUUCUUUAUUUCUUUUAUUUCCUUAUUUUCUCUUUAUUCCUUGAGGUUGCCCCAAUGAGUGUGUCCACUAUCCAUAUUUUAAGAGCCUGUCGUGACCCGUGAUUAGACUAUGUCUACCUAUGCAUCUCAAUAAGUGAUCAUGCUACAAACCAAGCUAGAUGCAUUUGUUACGCCCUCCUAUGGGAUUAAAUACGAUAACCCUUGAAUACUCACCGGAUGAAAUGCUACAAUUAGUUCUAUUCGCUUGUAGUUUUAUUCUUUAUAUUCAUGAACUAUUGAUUGGCGUACCUAAGUACUGUUACUUAAGAUUGUAAACUCUGUGCAUUUAUCUAGCGCCGUGCUACAGCUUUGCAUAUCGUAAGUAAGGAUUUUUAGGAUGGCCAAUCCGGCAUUCCUAAUUAAUGUUACCAGACUGCACUGCAAAGGCCGGCGCUGUUAAAGGCCCUGGGUUAUCUCUCUGACGUAAUGAUAGUUCUGGUAUACUAACACUCGACAUUUCUGGUGCCAUUGCUAAUGAUGGAUUUAUAGUCUAUCUUUAGUAGUGACGCUAAGAAAUGCCAACAAUAAGAUAAAUAUAGGAAUAUGAAUAAAAAGUGACAGAUAAAUAAUAAUUCAUAGCCAUAUGAUAAAUAUGAUAAUCAUCUCAAUUAGAUUACUCUAAGUCUAUAACACUAGCAUGGUACUAUGACAAUCUACAAGAAUAAAUCCUAAGUAUUCUAAGUAUAAUGUCAAAGCAUACAUUGAUCAGUGCAAGUACACCUAGCAUCAUCGCAAGAAUAGGUUAUAUCAAUGCAUAGUGAUAUUAGCAAGAAAGAUCAUGAACAUAGCAAUCACUUCCCUGUAAUAGUGGUGCUCUACAAUCCUUAUAAUUAGGAGAAGGAAUACAAAGGACUCAACAGGACUGUCACUCCCAUGAUCUACCUCAAGCUUCGGACUUUAAGGGGUAAUCGCAGAUAAUACGGUCUAGGCACCUCGCCUACACAAUAUUUACCACUUACCCAUUGAUCUAAUGAGCACGCGCUAUACGAUUAUAUGCAUAAACAUAAUUCUAAUCUAACUACACUAAGCACAUAAUCAAAGUAGACAUAACAAUAUAAUUGAGAACAUAAGAAAAUAGAAUAAAGUCAAUUCUGAUAUAAUCAAAUAGAUCAAAGUCAUAUUCAUAAUAGCAAGAACUAAUAUAAAUAUAACAAAGAAGAAUAAGAGUUUACCCAGAACUAAGGAUAGAUCCGGACUCCAAGAUUAACUUGACUCCUACUAGAUCUAUUCCUAUGUAGCUAUGCUAAAGAACUAUAGAGAUCUAAUUGAGAUGGUGGCUAAGAACCCUAAAGAGACAGAUCCAUUCGAGGGACCCCUCUUUGUAUAAUUCUUCUUCUCUUGAUCUCCUCAGAGAAUUAUGAACUCCUCCUCCAGGGGGGUCAAGCUUGUAUUUAUAGCCCCUUAGGAAGCACCACAACCCUUGGAUCAAACUGACUUAAUCGUGCGCUUAAGAUUAAUCCUCAAAGUUGGUGGAGGCAGGAUCCGCGAGGUUCACCUUGAUUGGUGGAUCCCUCCGGGCGGCUGCCCCUGACAAGGUGGGGUGCCCGCCCCAGCCCUGAGGUAGGUGGGCCCCACCUUUCAGGUGGUGUCUCCCCGAGUCUUUUAGAGUAUUCCUGAGUUGACAUUUCAUGUAUUCUCUCUAUGUAAAUCUAAAAUAUGGACCUCCUUUUGUUCUUAUUCCAAUAACCCCCUGCAGAAAUAGACAAUCACCAAAACUUAUGGAAUUCUAUUAGUGAUAAACCCUAUAGCUAGAUAGUAUUCUAAUUCUAGUCCUUUCUCAUGCUAUGUUGAUGGUUAAAAAGUGUACUUAUUGUUGGUAUAAAUUAACUACACUCCAAUUAAAUAGAUUUAAGUAGGAUUAUCUGCAAGCGCACAGAUAUCAUACAAGUGUCACAUUUUACCCAGAGGUUUUAAAUAUCGAAUCCACAGAGAACAGUUGUGAUGAUGACAAAGUAUAUAGACUUAACCCUACAAUUAGGCUAGAUCAUAUCAAGAAAAAGGAAAUAACUAAUGUACUCUGACUCCGAUUUCCGGUAAACUUUGUAUAAUAUCAUCUUAUCGGGCAAGUAACCCGAAUAGGGGGAGAAUCAGAGUAAGCCCAUAUCAGGCACCUAUAAGCCUAUCAAUCCUAUCAACGGGAAGUGGACUAUAGAGGAAUCAACGCAGCUGUCACCUACAUGAACUACCGCUGUCCAGCUGAUCAGGGGACAUUCACAAGCAAACCUAGCCUAGGCACCACGCCUACACUACAAAAUACUACUUCAACCAAUUAAUGACCAAGAUCAAAGCAUUUAAUAUGAGUUGUGAACCAAAGAACGAAUAAGAACAAGUUGCUUACUUAAACCUGAAGGGUAAAUACAAAAGUACCUCAGAACACAGCUCUAGGCGAGUGACAGAAUCCAGAAGAAUACAACCAUGAAGAAGCACCGACAGGUCAGAACUCCUCCAGAAUCUCUACUCCUCUAGUUCAUCUCUCUAAUCUGUAAACAAGACUAGAUCUAGAAGAACUAGUCUCUCCUAAUUGCUACAUCUAGAUGAACUAGAACUAGAUGAACUAGAACUAGAACAACUAGAGCGACCCUAACCCUAAUUAUGUAGAGAAUAUGACGCACCGGGGUGUAGAAUGCCUCUUGGGGGGAGCCUUGGGCGUCAUUAUAUAGGCCGAGGUGGAGUAGGGGUCAAGGAACCACCACGUCAGCGAUCUGCGUCUUCAUCUUGUGUGCACCGUCGGAUCAAACCGACUUAAAAUCAACUGAGGGACAGCUUGCUUGGCUUCCAAGGAUGCGUGGGAGGAAGACUCCAGAAGAUGGUGGACAUUGGCCGAAACGGGGCACCGAUCGGCCCCAGGGUGGGGCCGGCCGGCCCCACCUUUCCACCUCCUCGGCUCUCGUUCCUUCGGGUGUCUUCUUGACCCUUCCUAAGUCUUCUCGUGAUAUUUUCCGGCGCGGAUGAGUUUCGUGGUAAAUAUGCACUAGAAUCCCUCUUUUCAGCUUUCUGUAAAAUAAACCCUGGAAAACACAGAAUAUGCAAAACUCAUGGAAAUUGUUAGUUUAAGCCCUAUACUAGUGUGUAUUCAUGUUCUCCUUUAGGUUUAAAGUUCUAAUAAAUAUUGACGUUAUCGACCGUCAACAAUUCCCCCAAGCUUACCUUUUGCCAGUCCCUUGGCAAACAACCCAAAACUUGGAUCCGGAGUUGCUACAAUACUUUUAUUUCUUUUAAGUACACUUGCUUUUAAACAUAAAUUUUCCUCCGGUCUAACUUCCAAACUUACCCAUUUUACCUUUAACCAUGGAGCUUUACAACUUUUGCAUAAGUCUUGAGUAAUCAAAAGAUACAACAAUCAAGUCAAGCACUAUGUCUCAAAUUCUUCACAGGACCAAUAUUGUGGAGUUUUGUAAUUUUUUUUUGAAAUAAUGCUCAGAGCAUAAUUGUAUGAUACCCUCAAGUCUCUUAUCAUGUAGUAUUUAUGGAUCUCACCGAGGCAUUAAUGAGGUUAUGCCUUCCUACAACUAAGGAUAUAUAUAUAUAUAGUGGAGCUUAUAGGAGUGGCAAUAACAAGGAUGAGCAUACUUGCAAUUCAUAUAUUGUAAAGUCAAACAAUGGAUCCAUAGAGAAUCGAGGCAUACAAUCAAAUCAAGAUGUGCGUGUGUAUGGAAUAUGGUGGAUAUGUGUAUAUAUAGUAUUUAGUAGCUAAUAUUAAUUCUACUUUUGCUCUUUGAAAAUUACUCCCUCCUUAGAACUCUUCGCAGGAAAACUUGGGCUAUCUUUAUUCUCUCUUUCUCUCUUUUUAUUACUGUGGGAGGCGGGCAUCGAUGUACCCAUUAUUUUAAUUGUUGGGACACUUGUCCAUCUUUUACUCCCCUUUUUUCUUUUUUUCAAUACAUUUGCAUAGCCACAUGCAUUCUUUUGAAUAUAAAUAAUUGGAGAGAUAAUGAUAAGAACAUAGAGCAAUUAAAUGGGGACUGUCCUAUAGGGUAUAUUUUUGGGUGUUCACUCCUAGUGUAGGAGAAAAAACAUUUUUAAGGUGGAUCUGGAUAAAAAUAGAAAAUAAUUUCGCUUCCUCCUAGAGUAGGAGUAAUGAAAACGUGGGUGGAGUGCGUAAGUGAUCUUGAUUUUAAAAGUAUGACAAGUCUCUCAUAAGGUAUAGAACAAAGGUUGAGUAAACUCAAUGCAAAGCAAGCUGCAUGAAUGUGCAAAGGUUUUCCUAACUCUAAACGUAUCAUAUAUGGCUUUGGUAGGAAUUUAAACUUUAUCAUUCAAGAGCUCAUCAUGUAGAAUUUUGGUUUUUUGAAAAUAAAUCUUCAGAACUUAGUAAUGCUAGGAAUAAGAUAAAUAACAGGUUAGACCUUCAUGUAUAAAAUCAAUUACCUAGACUCAGCUUAAACAUAUGCCUCCAUAAAUUUCAAGUUCAGAGUAAAUUCUUAUAUUAAAGUAGUCAUGUCUAAAACUCAGGAGAAUUCAUGGUUGAAAACUAGGCACUUGAAAGGAAUUACUGUAGACCAACUAUUCAUCAUCUCCAAGACAAAACUUUAAUAUUCUCUAAAUUUUAUUUGACUCUAAACUAGACUGACUAUAGACACACUUUAUGAUCACACCUUAAUAUGUAGAUACGUAUUUUUCUUGGUUUUUAUUCAUUUCUAUUAGACUUAGAAGACUCUAAUGACAUGGACUUCAUGUGCCCAUAUAUUUUUGGUUUUUUUAUAUUUUCUUAUGAUACUAUUGUGAACCUUCAUGUGCUCACAUAUUUUUGGUAUUUUAUGACUAUAUAAAAUAGACUCGAUAAUCGCCUAGGUAUAGUUACCUGAUAACUAGGGGAUGCUCUUCCCCCAAGCUAGAUGUUUGCAAUAGUUGGUGUUGAUGAUCUUCAGAGUGAGCUAACCGGUAGCGCUCUAGGUGGGUACCACUAAUAGACUCUCUACUUGUCAUAAUAUUGUUCCUGCAUAAUCACACUCCAAAAAGAAAACCAAAACUCGAGGCUCGAAUUUAAUAACAGGGUAGAUCAGCCAAUAAGUAAUUGAUUAUUCUUAUGAGUUGAUUUUAAAUUGACAAGUUCUAGCAGGAUUCUCUCUUUUUAGGAUUUUCUAGUUUAGUUAUGUAGAAAUUAAAUAUGUGUGCAUGAUAUAUAUAAUUGUAUUUUUAUGCCUCCACAGAGAAUAUUUAUUCUUAUGGGGCUUAGGUUUUUCAUAAUGCAAGAAAAUAAAUACAGAAACUAUUAUUAUUAUUAUUAUUAUUAUUAUUAUUAUUAUUAUUAUUAUUAUUAUUAUUAUUAUUAUUAUUAUUAUUAUUAUUAUUCUUUGUCACCACAGUAAAUAUUUCUACAGGGUUAUUGUAAGUUUAUUCCUGUAGAGCUUUUAAUAUUUUAUGAUCCAGUAAAUGAAGCAAUAAAGAUUUUUAUUUUAUUUUAUUUUUUUAUACCUAUGUAGAUGAAAAUAUUAAAGUAGAUUUAUUAAUAUAGAUAGAAAUACUAAUUAAUUAGAUAACUACCAUAUUACCUUAUAGCGAUGAUGUAAAAAUUAAAGUUUACCGACACGUCUUCUUGGCCAGCAGGUUGAAGAAGAGCUUUAACACUAGCUGGCAGCAUCUUGCUUAGUGUACAUGCUCACAAAACUUUCAUUUGUAGAAUUAAUAAACUUUGCUUGAUGUGUCGUCCUGCUUGCAAAACUAAGGCAGAGAUCAAGUGCAUGGGCUCUGCUGGUGGAAAAACACCAACAGAACCAAAUCUAUUUAUUUAUUUUUUUUCUUUAUCCUUAGGCACAUUAAACAAGAUAAAGUUGUGUUACAUGAUUUAUUUAUUUAUGAGUGGUAAGAUCAAAAGAUUAAGUAUUUAAUGUUGCAUUUAAGUUUACAUGACAGAAAAGAAUGAAAUUGCUUAAUCAAUGGAAGGAUUGUCUAUCUCUAUAUAAAUUUUCAAAUACUUAUGACUAUCAUCUUCGCAAGAUUGAUGUUCUAACUUGUUUAGUUAAGACUGAGAUUAAGAGAAUGGUGCCAUGAACAAUUUUAAAAGAGCAAAGCAUAUUGAGGUAAUCAAUUUAAGUUGUAACUCUAAUAUGUUUGUGUUUUAAUUUAUGUGCACACUAAGAUCAAGAGAAAAGAGUAACCACUUACCUUAGAUAUUACCUUCAUUAUUAGAGCGUUAUGGCACUAACUGAUGAAGGGUAAAUGACUGGUGGCCCUUCCUCUUGCAUCUUGAGUUGUUCAUAGACAUCUUGUCUCCUCUGUUGCACUCAUUCUUUUGCCAUCUUUUGCUUCUUUAAUCUGUUGACCCUUUUCACUCCAGCCAUUACCAUGCCUGCAACUGAUUAGUGGGCAACACAUACCCGAAGGAUUAUACAAGUAAUGACAAGGGUAUUGUUGUAAUACAGUUAAGGUUUCUAUGCUAUAAAAAGGAAUUUACUUGAGCAUACUAGCAUAGCGUAUUUAUUAUUCACAAUUACUUCUUUCUAAGGGUUUGAAUUUAUUUUUCUAUCUUAUGUUUUGAUUCUCAAAUAUAGGCAUUAUAAAUUAACUCAAACUUAUAGAAAUAAAGUAAUAGUGAAUUUAGAGAUUGCAAACCAGUGUCUAGAGCGAUGGGAGCAUGAGAUGUGGAAGAACUUGGCUGGAUCAUCCAGAGAAGUUUGACCUUUCUUCCUCAUGUCUCAGCUUCUUGACCGCAGAAGUGAGAGUGCUUUGAUUGUGGAACAUGUUUUGUGCACCCUUCUUUCUUCUUGGCUACGAAUGAGUUCUAUCUUCCUUGUGCAAAAUUAUUGUAUCUCUUUAUCUCCAGUGUGAGUUCAUCUCACAACUUUCCCAAUUUGAAUUUGAACGUUUUUCUACAGGGGUUAGUCUAACAAAAUAUGAAAAUGUUCCAAUAUCUAGUACAACAUACUAUCGGCUCAAAAAUCAACCUAGGCACCACGUCUAAUUUGAUUAAAGAAGGCAUUUCAACCUAAGCACCACGCUUAAUUCAAAAAGCCUUUGAAAGUAAAAAAUCAACACACCUCUUAGUUCAAGAAUCAAACUAAACACCUCGUCUAAUUAUGACUCAAGAAAAUAGUUUAAACUAAGCACCAUGCCUAAUUCGAAAGGUGUAUGAAAAUACUCGAAACCUUAAGGAUACUAUAGCAAACAAAGGUAACAUGAAAGUUUAUAGAGUGUUACUCAAACAGUGAUGAAAAAGCAUGAUUAUUGUUCAGCAAAUUGAGCAUAUCUUAAAAGUAGAGACAACCAAGAUAGUAUAGCAACAUUGCAAGAGAUGUAUCUAUGAAAGCAUAUCCCCCAAGCUUGACUUUUUCAAAAAUCAAGAUUGGAUGAAAGUAAUUCAAUGUUGCAUAAUGAUUGGUUGGACAUAUAUACCUUGCAUUUGUUACUCCAUCAGUCUUUUGCUCCAAACCUUGAAGGGUUAGUGACAAGAAUACCCGAAGGAAUAUUUUCAUAAUAAUAAUUCUAUGCUCAAUUAACAAGGGUAGCACAGUAGAAGAACACUCAUGUCAUGGUCUAAACAGUGCUUGUAUUAGGACACUAAGCUUGUCCUUGGGAAACCUUCAAGAUGUGGUUUGGCGAAGUGGUUUCCCUUCCAACACCACUCUAAGUGUAUUAUUCACCACAAUGAGAUCUACAAUAUUUAUGGUAAAGAUAUGUGUCUACAACCACCCUUUUAAUGAUUUUAUUAAUAGGUAGAAUAACGGGGUUGGGGAUCUCGUGUGUGAUAAUAUUAGAGACUAAUUGAUCCAGGAGAUUUCUCAUAUGAGCAUGGGUCUGAUAGGGUGUUUAAUGAAAUAAUUCACAUGAUCGACAAUAUGAUCUCCCCUUUUCAAACUCCAAGGGUGUCUCUUCAUGGUUGUCUAUAGGCAAUAAGUUUGCCUCUAUUAUUUCAUGCCUAUGACAUUUAUUAGAUUAUUUUCUAGGAUUUCCCAUGAAUUGAUGUCCCUAAGGUUGGUCUCGUCUAAAGCUUUCUAUAAACUUGGGUGAGUUAUGUUUAUUAAAGAAAUUGAUUUAAGCUCAACAUUUGAAUUUAGACCAAGUUUAGAUGCUAGUGCUAAAACUUUAUCUUCUUCCAUUCUUUGACAGUAGCAUAUGUAUUUCUAAUAUGUUCUAUGUGUUCCUGCUAUUGUCGUUGCUCUUCUUGGGUAUUCCUAUAACUUUCAUGACUCCUAUUCUUAGGAUGUCUUAAUGGAUUCCUAGGGUCAUUAUGAAGUUUAGUAGAAGGAGCAUAAAAAGAUCUAUUCGGGUCAAGGAUGGGUUCAAAGACAUUUAAUAUGGACAUAUAAUGAGAAAAGAUAGAAUUUAUUUCUAAGUGGCUUGGCACUCCUUCUAUGGCAUCACUUGGCAUGCCAUCCUUGAAUUUUUCCCAAUGUCUUUUUAGAAAGGAAAGGAAGUUGAUGAUACCUUUUCCAAGAUAAUAUGCAUUAAUUUAUGAGCAACUUGGCUAAUUGGAAGUAUAAAUCAUUGAUGUGGAAUUUUAAAGGUUUAGGAUUGAUAGCUAAAUCUUAAGAAUGAUGUGAUUGUGUUUUAGCUACCGAGACUUCUGUUUUUAGUUUGGAUAAUAAAUCCUUUUCUUCUGUUGGGAAGUUUAGAAAUAGCCAGAGCAACUCUUUUGAGCAUAAACUCUUGCUUUUAAAAAAGAUAAGAAUGAACUCUCGAGAAGAUAAAUCAAGGGAUUCCUUAUAACUCUUGGUAAGACCCAAUGUUGAAUAGUCAUGGGGCCUAGCAAACCAAGGUCAGGAUUAAUGGUCCCAUGAUAUAUUUGAGAAGGGUUUAUUAUAUUAUGUAGACAUGGGCAUAGCCUAUAGAUAUUUUGAUAAGAUUUAUGCUUUAAGCUUUUGCACAUGCCAUAAAGAUAAAUAACAAUAGAAUUAAAAACAUCCAUAAGGAUGAACACAAAAACAAUGAAGAGACUCGGAUAAAAACAGGAAAAUAUAAAAGUAUAAUACAAGAUUAAGCUAAACUAAGUCAAUAUCAGCAAACCAUUCUGUCGCAACGGCGCCAAAAAUGCUUGUUGGUAUAAAUUAACUGCACUCCAAUUAAAUAGAUUUAAGUAGGAUUAUCUGCAAGUGCAUAGAUAUCAUACUAGUGUCACAUUUUACCCGAAGGUUUUAAAUAUCGAAUCCAUGGAGAAUAGUUGUGAUGAUGACAAAGUAUAUAGACUUAACCCUACAAUUAGGCUAGAUCAUAUCAACAAAAAAGAAAUAACUAAUGUACUCUGACUCCAAUUUCUAGUAAACUUUGUAUAAUAUCGCCUUAUCGGGCAAGUAACCCGAAUAGGGGGAGAAUCAGAGUAACCCCCUAUCAGGCACCUAUAAGCCUAUCAAUCCUAUCAACGAGAAGUAGACUAUAGAGGAAUCAACGCAGCUAUCACCUACGUGAACUACCACCGUCCGACUGAUCAGGGGACAUUCACAAGCAAACCUAGCCUAGGCACCACGCCUACACUACGAAAUACUACUUUAACCAGGUAAUGACCAAGAUCAAAGCACUCAAUAUGAGUUGUGAACCAAAGAAUGAAUAAGAACAAGUUGCUUACUUAAACCUGAAGGGUAAAUACAAAAGUAACUCAGAAUACAGCUAUGAAGAAGCACCGACAGGCCGGAACUCCUCUAGAAUCUCUACUCCUCUACUUAAUCUCUCUAAUCUCUAAACAAGACUAGAUCUAGAAGAACUAGUCUCUCCUAAUUGCUACAUCUAGAUGAACUAGAACUAGAACAACUAGAGGGACCCUAACCCUAAUUAUGUAGAGAAUAUGAAGCACCGUGGUGUAGAAUGCCUCUUGGGGAGAGUGUUGACACUAGCUAACACCACUUAGAUACUAGGUUGUCAUCCCCAGCAUGGUGCCAGAGUGUACAAAGGUAUUUAUAAAUGUAAAGGCUCUCUAGAAAAUAAUCUAUUCUAUCCACAAGCGCACAGAUAAAACACCUCAUUGUAGCAUUUCACCAGGAUAAGUAUUCCAGGUAUCGUUAUUUAUAAUUUUGCUCAAGGAAUGAAAUUAAAAUAAAGGGGCAAAAUCUAUCAAGGCAUAGACUAGAGAUAAACUUGCAAGAACAUGAUUACUAAUGAGAAACUCGUCACACAGUUACUUACUUUAGCAGGGGGUAAACCAUAAAGAUAAUGAUAAUGAAUUAUAAGUUCAUGGGUAGAUAACACAGCGAUUAGAAAAUAGACUACUCCUCAAAUGUAGGUGAUGUCGGAUUAGCUAGAGAAUGGAUUCUAAGUUAUCUACUAACUACUAAGUCAUAAUCUACUCUAGUUAUCUACAAGAUCAUAUAUAGCAUAAAAGACUCUUCAUUCAUGUAUAAGGAACAUUGAUAAAGUAAAUCAGAGCAUCGCAUGACUUACUCCACAAUACCGGUUCUGCCUGUCCUAUCAACGGAGGGUGGACUAUAUAAGAAUCAACGAAGCUAUCACUAUCGCGAACUACCACACGACCCGGCCAAUAGGAUACAUUUGCAGAUAAAAAACAUCUAAGCACCACGCUCACAUGUGAUCUAUCACCUAACUCCCUCGCGUCAAGAGCUAAGCGCUUUGCAAACUUAUACAUAAACUCAUUAUCAAUUAGAACUAUAUCAAAUAUAGAACUAGAGCAAACUAAGAACAUAAUAAUUAGAGACAUAAUGCAAUUAGAACAAUAGAAUUAGAGAAAGAUAUGAAUAAUAACAAUCUUUAUUACUGAAGAUCUGAAUCCAGAGCGUAGUGCUCUGCUUCUCAAAUUGCUAUCUAAUCAAACCUCUAAACUUGAAGGAUUAGGGAGUAGCUAAUUCUAAUUCUCUGUGGGAGAGAAGCUCUAAACCCUAACUUUGAUGGCUACCUCUGAAUAAUGAUUUCUUCUCUUCUCCUCUCCUCCAGGGGGGUUACCUUGGUUAUAUAGUCUUUUCAAGUGAAUGUGGGCCGUCAGAUCAAACCGACAUUGAUUGUGUGGUUUAGAUUGAUCCUUUAGGUCGGUGGAGCGUAGUCCCGAAGCAGAGUCCUGAUCCAACUCCUACCCUGGGCGGGCGCCCAAGGGGGGUGGGCGGCCGCCCUGCCCCCGAGCCCGAUCGUGCUCUCGUUUGAUCCCGUGGCUUCUGGACUCUUCUAGAUUGAGGAAAAUUGCGCGGCACGUAAUUAUCUCGUUGUAAACAUGACAUGUGGGCCUUCUCUCCAUAUUCUCUGAUAACCCCCUGCAGAAAUAGAUAAACACCAAAGCUCGUGGAAUUCUGUCAGAUAAAACCCUAAUUCUAGAUGUUUCUUUCAUAUUGAUCCUUUUCUAUGUUUAUUUGAUUAUUAAUUUUAGUACUUAAGGACCGUCAACAAACUACCCCAAGCUUACCCUUUGCUCGUCCCUGAGCAAAAAGCUAAACUCAGACGAAUCAGAAGUUGCUUCGAUGUUUUCUUUCCUUACAGGCACACAUGCUUUUACAUAAAAAUUCCUCCAGAUUAGAGUGAAGUGUUAUGGAGUUUAGUACCUGCACUUAAAUCUUAAGUAAUCGAAAGACAAAAUAGUUAAGUCAAGCACUAUCCCUCCUGUUUAUACUUCACCUUUGUUCCAGAGUUUUUCAUAAGUUUUCAAAAUAAAACUCAGAGUUCCCAGCAAUGAUUCUCUCAAGUCUCUCUAUAUGUGGUAUUUGUGGAUCCUUACCAUAAUAUCGCCUACCUAUAGCUAAUGGGAUAUUUAAGUGGAGCUCAUAGGAGUGAAAAAUAGCUCAUACAUAUGUUGUCUAAUCGAGCUAUGGAUCCAAAGGAACUCAGCAUAUAAUUAAAUUAAGAUGUGCAUGUGUGAUGGAGUAAAUGAUAGUGAUGGUGAAGAUAUAUAAGUGAUAAUAAAACUUAGUUCUCGUUGCUCCUCAUAUUGCUAUCUCUCCUCCUCUUUGAUCUUUGCUUUGGGAGAACAUGGGCUAUCUUUUUUUCUUCUUUUUUUUCUUUUUUUAGGUGGGUAGUAGAUACCCCUAAUUCUACUGUCGGACACUUGUCCAUUUUUUCCGCUCAAGUGGGCAUCUUUGUACCCCUAAUUCUACUUCGGACACUUGUCCAUUUUUACCUCUCGUCUCACUCUUUUUCUUUCUUUAUCGAGGUUCCGAGCACUUGCCCCUUUUUAUUUCCUCGUAUAUUUUUGCAUAACCCAUGCCUCUUCUGCAUUGAAUCUUUUUAGAGAGAGAGAAUAACAAUAUUCGGGACAAUGAGUGAUAAUAUUUUUAGCAAUUUUAAUGAAUGGUGAUGGAUGGUGUAGUAGGUGUGUGCAAGUGAAUAUCUUAAUUUAACCACAUGAAAAGCUCCUAAGGCUUCCCAAAGAUAGUAAUUUCAGUUUUAGUAAUUCCUGGAAGAACUCUAAUAUAAAAGCUAGGUACUUAAAAGUAAGCAAAUAG